rnacentral:rRNA from 1 species
GACGAACGCUGGCGGCGUGCCUAAUACAUGCAAGUCGAGCGAAGUUUUUCUGGUGCUUGCACUAGAAAAACUUAGCGGCGAACGGGUGAGUAACACGUAAAGAACCUGCCUCAUAGACUGGGACAACUAUUGGAAACGAUAGCUAAUACCGGAUAACAGUAUUUCUCGCAUGAGAGAUAUUUAAAAGUUGGUUAUGCUAACACUAUGAGAUGGCUUUGCGGUGCAUUAGCUAGUUGGUGGGGUAAAGGCCCACCAAGGCGACGAUGCAUAGCUGACCUGAGAGGGUGAUCGGCCACACUGGGACUGAGACACGGCCCAGACUCCUACGGGAGGCAGCAGUAGGGAAUCUUCCGCAAUGGGCGAAAGCCUGACGGAGCAACGCCGCGUGAGUGAAGAAGGAUUUCGGUUCGUAAAGCUCUGUUGUUAGGGAAGAAUGGAUAUGUAGUAACUAUACAUGUAAGAGACGGUACCUAACCAGAAAGCCACGGCUAACUACGUG